rnacentral:rRNA from 1 species
CGGUCCACACUCCUACGGGAGGCAGCAGUGGGGAAUAUUGCACAAUGGGCGCAAGCCUGAUGCAGCAACGCCGCGUGAGGGAUGACGGCCUUCGGGUUGUAAACCUCUUUUAGCAGGGAAGAAGCGAAAGUGACGGUACCUGCAGAAAAAGCGCCGGCUAACUACGUGCCAGCAGCCGCGGUAA